rnacentral:rRNA from 1 species
UACGUAGGGUGCAAGCGUUGUCCGGAAUUACUAGGCGUAAAGGGCAGGUAGGCGGUCUCGUUAGUCUGUUGUGAAAGCUCCUUGCUUAACGGGGAGAGGCCAACAGAUACUGCGAGGCUUGAGUAUAGGAGAGGGUACUGGAAUUCCCGGUGUAGCGGUGAAAUGCGCAGAGAUCGGGAGGAACACCAAUGGCGAAAGCAGGUACCUGGACUAUUACUGACGCUAAGCUGCGAAAGCUAGGGGAGCAAACAGG